CGUCUCGCGCGUGGUGAUGCCGUUUGGUAUUAGACCAAUUAGAUUGGGCCUAAAAUAAUUUCAAUGGCCCGUUGUAACAACAGCCCACUACAACUUCCAAACCUAGCUUGGUCGUCGCAGUCGAGCAACGACUCCUCCAUCACCUUCAUCGUCCCAUCUGGAAAUUCAUCGGUCUCUGCAACUCGGCGUUACGGUUGAUCCACUCUAAAUCAUUCAAUUCGGUUCUUAACUCCUUAUUUAAUGAGAUAUGGUAUCGUUCGAUAUCCCUUUGUCUCCCCCUUCAUAAACCUUCAGUCCAACCAUAAUCGAAAACCUCAGUCGAAGAAUAUAAAGCUAUGGCCAUGAAACAUGCUCAGCCCUCUGGCAAGUCUCAUGUCGAACGGUGUGAUCUGAGGAUAUAGAGAGAGAGCACAGAAGGCGCGAGAGUUAAUGAUUGUGGACAUGAUCCUGCUUGACGAGAAGUCAACUCUUAUCCAAGAGACGAUCCAUGCCAGCCGCCUCAAUACUUUCAGGCGUCGUCUCAGUGAAGGUUCUGUGUAUUCGCUUAGUGGAUUUGAGGUCACACGGAGCAACAAUAAUUUCCCACUCUCUGACUCCCCAGUCUCCAUUCGUUCCAACGAUAGAACGUCCUUCGCAGAAACGACAAACUCGAAGAAGGAUAUUCCCACUGAGCUUUUUCGAUUCCGCAGCCACGAGCAGCUAUGAGCAUUGGCUAAUACGAACAGACCACUACCAUCUGAAGCGUGAACUGAUGUACCUAUCAAUUGUUAUCGGAACUGGGUGCAGCGGAUAUUGCUUACUAGCUUUAUCACCCCAUGUAAUGAUUGUUUUUCUUCUUAAAGUCAAUUAUUAAGAUUAAGAAUAUAUUGCAAAUAAAGAUGAAUAUAGAUACGAAGUUGGCCAGAGGUGAUCAGUUUUGGCUUAACCCAUCCAUAGUAUACCAUACUGAUUAUAGUUGUCAUUGUAAGUCAGACAACACUUUCUGCCUCAUUUUUAUUAUUUUCUUGCAAAACAAAACUUUUUUCCUUCUGCAUCUCCUCAAUGGGACAAUAUAAUCAAUUUGUUUUGUAUAAUAAAGAGUAGCUAACUGUGCUAUGAACGGUUGGAUAGUGUUUUUUCACUCCCCAACACUCAAAAGCUCUAACCAGUCUAUACAAUGGCUUAACUUUGCUCCAUCAUUUAAUUAUUCAUGAGAAACUGUGUGUUUAAAGAAAUAUUGUUUUAUCGAAACAGAGUGCAGUCAGUUAUGGAGUUGGAGUUCUUUUCAGGUUAGUGCUCUAUUUUAAUGGUUGAAGAAAAAUAUACCUCGAGAUUGUAAUUUAUAAGUUCUGCAACAUACUACCUCGUUCACAAAGAAAAUAUAUCAUAACAAUAAACCUAUGGUGGGAUCUUACGAGACCAAUCAGAGAAGAAGCAAACCUAAGAAGAGAAGAACAAGGAGAGGAAGAAGAAAAAUACAAAGAAGUCGAUUAUGAUGAAAACAAAGAGCAUAGAGAAGAUGGAAGUAGUAGUGGAAGAGGAAGACGAUGAUGAUGGAAUUGAUUAGCAGCAACUGUGUUGCUUACAGACACUGAAGUUCUCAAUUGGGAAUAUGCAUUUGGUAAUUGCGAGGCCUAACCUUGUGAAGCUAAUAAAACCUUCAAAGGAUUUGGACGGUUUUACAAUGCCAACAACUAUCCCAAGAAAGCAAGCGUGAAGGAAGAAGUGUAAACUUUGUAUUAAUGUUUGACCUUUAUAUAAAUAGUCCGAGAAAGUUGUGCUUUUGUAGUUUCUAUCGUUUUUAGCAAGCUCUUAAUUUGUAUUCCUAAGUUUCUUCAUCUCUUCACUGAGUCAGCACAUCUGUAUUAUUAAAAGAGAAGUACCCAUUUGAAAAUGUUCUUAUUUCAUUAAUUAAACUCUAUUUUCUUUGCUUGCA